rnacentral:rRNA from 1 species
AGCGAACGCUGGCGGCAGGCCUAACACAUGCCAGUCGAACGGAUCCUUCGGGAUUAGUGGCGGACGGGUGAGUAACACGUGGGAACGUGCCCUUUGGUUCGGAACAACUCAGGGAAACUUGAGCUAAUACCGGAUGUGCCCUUCGGGGGAAAGAUUUAUCGCCAUUGGAGCGGCCCGCGUCUGAUUAGCUAGUUGGUGAGGUAACGGCCCACCAAGGCGACGAUCAGUAGCUGGUCUGAGAGGAUGAUCAGCCACACUGGGACUGAGACACGGCCCAGACUCCUACGGGAGGCAGCUGUGGGGAAUCUUGCGCAAUGGGCGAAAGCCUGACGCAGCCAUGCCGCGUGAAUGAUGAAGGUCUUAGGAUUGUAAAAUUCUUUCAGCGGGGACGAUAAUGACGGUACCCGCAGAAGAAGCUCCGGCUAACUUCGUG